ACAAUCUUUUUCUAUAUGCGUGCUCCGCGACGGAGAUUGGCGAUCAUCAAUGCAAUUUGGAUUCUAUUGACUGCAGCUCGGAACAGAGAUGUUGAGUCAAUGUUGAACCACUCUCUCAGGUUCCUUAUACAAUAAGCACAUUAUAAAAAUGAUAUUAUAAUGACAAUAUAAAAAUUCACACCGAAGAAGAAAGAAGUCUCAUUUCAAGAAGUGUGAUUGUACGAACGAAUGGUAUCCUUUCAAUGGUCGGCGCAUUGUCAGUUUGUCGCUGAGUAAAAAAAUAAAAAAUGAUCGUACCUACUUGUAUGUAGAUGUAGUGAUUUUUUUAAUUAUAAAGAUAACGCAAUUAGGCGACCUUAGUGUGGUGUCUGUGAGGUUAGGGAACGAGUUCAUUGUUUGUAAUAGAAGUUUUUGAUGUACAUGUUUUUAGAUGGUUUGAGGAAAUUGGAGCAUGCGGCUGUGCAAGAGUACGAGACGUACAUGAGUGGAGCUGCUCCACCUCAGUCUAGGCCCAGUGCGUACCUAGCACAAGACCGAAGAAUUAUUUCAGCCUCCAACCAGUUGUUGGCGGGAGACAUUGUUGUCUCGGAAUUCCUCCAUCUUGUGUGUCACACCAUUGACAAUGUGUACGAUCCACAAAGUGGAUUCUUAGGCCUAUCUGAUGAUGAACAAGAUGAUGAUGAGGUUGCUCCACCACCACCUCCUCCAGCAAAUCCUUUGAUGGCUCCAGUGCUAGGCGAAGGUGACGAGGUUGCCGCGGGUCAGAGGGGCGACCAACAAGAUCCUGCGCCAGCAGCAAGAGGUCGGAGACGUCAACGUGGAAGAGGACGAGGACGAGAUGGAGGACAAGUCGGAGGACGAGGACGAGAUGAAGGACGAGGCCGUGGUCGUGGCCGUGUCCGUGGUCGUCAACGUGGUGGACACCAACCUCUCGCCGGAAAUGACGAUCCUGCACAGGCACACAGCUAUUGUAAUGUGUGUCUCACACACAAUAACGAUAUGAUGGUCGCUUUGCCAUGUGGACACAUCUCCGUAUGUUCCAUGUGCCUCCCACAGUUGGUGCCACACGUGGAUGAAGGAGUAAGGUGCGUGUCGUGUAGGACACCCGUAACAGGUGGAUUCCACCGUGUAUUCUUUUAACAUUGUAUUAUAAAUAUUUUUUCCUAUAGUUGAAUGGAAAAGAGGCUUUUGUACACUAAUUACAGUAAGCAAAAUAGUAAAUAGGUUAUCCCAAACCAGAUCUUCUUUCCGCACGUUACGAUCUGCUGGCGGAAAGAAAAAUUAGAACAUAGCCGACUUUAUUAAGACUACUAGAGGUAGUCGUGGCCGUGGCACUCUAGUUUGUACUAGAAUAUUCAGGAUAUGUAUGAUAGUAGGAAUAAGACCUUUAAACGACACUGUCCAUAAAAUUGUGUGAGUUGAAUCCGUUUUAUUUUUGUAGAAUCGAAAUUGUAAUUACAUUAGAAUAAAAUUAUCAUUCUGAUAAUGUGAUAAUAGUUGGUAAAAUUAAUAGUAGUGUGAUAAUAGUAGUUAAAAUUAUCAUUCUGAUAAUGUAAUAAGAGUUGGUAGAUGAUGUGAGUAAGUAACUGUGUCUAAUUCCUCACAUUUAUGAGAAGUUAUCAGAGUUGCAUUUUGUUCACAUGUUCUAUCAUGACUUCAGGAAAGUUUGAACCCUUUGCAUUCUUAUAUUCAGUAAAGCUGGAUAUGACACUUAUCACUGCAGCUCUGAAUAUAAAAGACGGGUACCUGCCCACCUUUCUUGUGCACAGCUGUGUAAAAGAAUUAAUUUAAUCGACUCUACAGCCUGCAAAUUUUAGCAGUACUUUACAAAAUGUACCAAACUCCUAUAUUCAGGAUCCAAAUAUUUGAAUGUUGUGUUUAUUCUACAAAGCUCACUUUAACUUCAUCUCAUUCUCAAUUUCAUGCUCUUUGAGCCAAUACAAUAGAAAAAUAUCAUAUUUCAUUAAAUACCUUAUAAAUGAGCUCAUAUCAAAUUAUUUGUAGAAUUAAAAACUCCAAUUUCAAAUUAUUGAGAAAAAACAGAGCACACAAUUUUUCAACAUAGUAGAAUCUUCGAAUAACGCAAACGAUAAUAUGAAAAAUUAUAAUAGGUACAAGAAUAAAAGCUUUCUACUAGCAUUCUACAUUCGAGUAGCCUACUUAAGCUAGUAGUAGAUUUGAUUUUUAUUGUAAAAUAUAAUACUGUACAUACAUUUUUUUGUCUUGGAUUGGAAGUUUUCAAGAAAGACUCUAUUAAGUUAAUUUACUGCUUUUCACUUUUCGAAGGGAAAAGUGUAAAUUUCAAGUGAUAGCUUCCUAUAAUAGUGUCUGAUUAACCCCUUACUUUGUACUACGUACGGCGAGGUGGAACAAUCCUUGGGUCUCCCCGCCCUUCAAAGCCAUAAGCUAAUAAUAAUAAUAAAAUUGAAAUGUGUACUUAUAUUUUUUUGUAAUCAAUAAUUCCCAUUAUAAUCGAUCUUUAUUAUUCAUCAACUUACUAAUAAUUAAUCUUUCUUUUAAUAUUUCACUAGUAUAAUUAGGCCAGUAGGCCUACACACAUGAUUUUUCUUUGAGUACUAAUUGAUUCUUGACAACUAAAUAUCUCUAUAAUAGAUGGCUGUAUAUUUCCUACUUAGUUAAGAAGAAUCAUUUAUCAAAGAAAUAUGAAAUUUAAGAAGCAAUUAAGUAGAUUACUACUGCUUUUCAAUACUACAUAAAAUAUGCAAAUGAUAUUUAAUUUUGUCAAUUAAUAGUAUUAUUUUACCGUUGAUACAAUAAUAAUGUAACAUGCUAUGUCUAUAUGUCUAUAUAUAUAUAUAUAUAUAUAUAUAUAUAUAUAUAUAUAUAUAUAUAUAUAUAUAUAGCCUACUUUGUUUAAAAGUGAUAGAUUAUUUUGAUAAUUUUGUUUUCAGGCAAAUUUUUAAUACAGAACAAUUUUUAUAAAACUUGUAUUUAUUAUUUCUCAGUUUAUCCCUCUAUGAAAAACAAUCAAUAUAGUCAAUUUGAUCACUUGACAAGUAAAUCACUGAUCGAAACUUUGAACCUAUAUUCUGUCUUUUUGAAAAGCUUUUUAUUCCAUUCAAAUCUGGAAAAUCAGUGAAUACUAUAGAGUGAAUAUUAUAAUAAGUAGAAUUGAUCCCGUCAACCAUGUCCUAUUGUAGCCUAUUUACAACUAAUUUUCUUUGCAGAUGUGGUUGUGGUUUAAGAUUUGCAUCUGUGGAGAGAAAAAUUAUUUUAUUUUGUUUAAUUAUAGAGAAAAAACAAUAUUGAACAACAAGGUACAAUGGAUUAAUGUUAUAAGCCUCCAUAAGUGUAGGGGAAUGUCAGCUAGCCUUCAACUAGCUUGAAGCUUGCUUAACCCAACUGUCCAGUUGGAAGUGCAUUUGGUAGUGCUUAUUUUGGGACUACAUUUGGUAAGUGCAUUACAUAAUGGUGUUUCAUGUUUCAAAUUCAUGAACCAGUUACAUGCAUAGAUGUAACUAGAUAGAUAGAUUGAAUAGCAUUCACUGCUCACCUAAAUCAGGGGGAUCUGGAACUUGUCAAAAAAUCUAAAUGGUCGAACAAAAAAUACACAGCCCACAGUAACAAAUACACAACACACAGGGAAAGAAAACAUUAUACCAUUCAUGUGAAGUAAUGUUGAAUAUACUAUUCCUUUGAGUAAAAAGCACUUUUAGAGAAAUCUAUCUUUAAAACUUUCGAUGAGAUCUGAAGUUGCGUUCAUUCAUACUCUUCAUGAAAUCAGGUAAAAUAUUAUAUAAUUGGAUGCCAGAGCUUCUGUUGCAUAUUUUUCCAUUUUCAUCGAAAAAACACACUGGCGUCUGCCGAACGUAACUUUAUCACAAUGCAGCACCUUGCAUUUUCCUUUGAUGUCUCUCAAUAGAAUUUGUUGAACUAUUCAGUUGGAAAAAUAACUAGUAGUUCUGUGAACAGUAGACCUCGCGCAGUUAAAAACCACAGCCUCCAUCAGGGUGAAUUAUGUGCUGUUAUGACGUGACGUAUCGGCGA
rnacentral:misc_RNA from 1 species